rnacentral:rRNA from 1 species
UCAAGCUAAUAAGAGCACAGGGUGGAUGCCCAGGCACCAUACGCCGAAGAAGGACGCGGUCAGCUGCGAUAAGCCUCGAGGAGCCGCAAGCAGGCAUUGAUUCGAGGAUUUCCGAAUGGGGAAACCCGGCGGGAGUAAUGUCCCGUCAUCCAUGACUGAAUCAAAUCGGUCAUGAGAAGGGCACGCGGGGAACUGAAACAUCUAAGUACCCGCAGGAAAAGAAAAUAACAAUGAUUCCGCCAGUAGUGGCGAGCGAACGCGGAACAGCCCAAACCACUCGUGUUACGGCACGGGUGGGGUAGAAGGAUCCACGAUACGGCAAGAAAUAAGUUAGCAGAAUACGAUGGAAAUCGUAGCCAAAGACGGUGACAGCCCGGUACGCGAAAACCGACAGAAGCCCAGUGGACACCUGAGUAACCCAGGACACGAGAAAUCCGGGGCGAAUCAGCGGGGCCCAUCCCGUAAGGCUAAAUACUCCCGAGAGACCGAUAGCGAACCAGUACUGUGAAGGAAAGGUGAAAAGCACCUCGAACAGAGGAGUGAAAUAGUCCCUGAAACCGUCUGCCUACAAGCGGUCGGAGCAACGUAAGUUGUGACGGCGUGCCUUUUGCAUAAUGAACCUACGAGUUACUUUCUCCGGCAAGGUUAAGGGCUUCAGGCCCGGAGCCGAAGCGAAAGCGAGUCUUAAUAGGGCGUGAUAGUCGGAGUGAGUAGACGCGAAACCAAGUGAUCUACCCUUGGUCAGGAUGAAGGUUGGGUAACACCAACUGGAGGUCCGAAUGGGUAUACGUUGAAAAGUGUUCCAAUGAACUGAGGGUAGGGGUGAAAGGCUAAUCAAACUUGGAGAUAGCUCGUACUCCCCGAAAUGCAUUUAGGUGCAGCCUUUAUUUAGUAUAGCAUGAGGUAGAGCGACUGAUUGGAUGCGAGGGCUUCACCGCCUAUCAAGUCCAGAUAAACUCCGAAUGCGUGCUAUAUAUUGAUAAGGAGUGAGGGCGCGGGUGCUAAGGUCCGCGUCCGAGAGGAGAAGAAUCCAGACCAUCAGCUAAGGUCCCCAAAUAACAGUUAAGUUGAACUAACGAAGUCGGACUGCAGAGACAGCUAGGAUGUUGGCUUGGAAGCAGCCAUUCAUUUAAAGAGUGCGUAACAGCUCACUAGUCGAGGAGUCCGGCGUGGAUAAUACUCGGGCAUAAACUGUUUACCGAAGCUAUGGAUGUAGAAAUACAUGGUAGGGGAGCAUUCCAACGGCGUCGAAGGUGAAGGAUGACCUUUGCUGGAGCUUUUGGAAACGCAAAUGUAGGUAUAAGUAACGAUAAAGGAGGUGAGAAACCUCCUCGCCGAAAGACUAAGGUUUCCUGAUCAACGUUAAUCGGAUCAGGGUAAGUCGGGACCUAAGGUUAAGCCGAACGGCGAUACCGAUGGAAGAAUGGUUUAAUAUUCCCAUACUACUUUAUGGAGCGAUGUGGAGACGGAGAAGUGAAAGUCCUGCCAUCUGACGGAAUAGGUGGUUGAAGAGUGUAGAUGUAGAUUCCUGUAGGCAAAUCCGCAGGGAGAGUCGACCUUGAUAGUAUGCCGCGUGCUUGCACAAGGCAAAAUGGAUGUAAUCAGGCUCCCAAGAAAAUCCGCUAAGCAUAUUCAUAAAGUACCCGUACCGUAAACGGACACACGUAGUUGGGUUGAAAAUACUGAGGCGCUCGAGUGAUUCACGGUUAAGGAACUAGGCAAAUUGACCCUGUAACUUCGGGAUAAAGGGUCCCUACUGAGAGGUAGGGCGCAGAGAAUAGGUCCAGGCAACUGUUUAACAAAAACACAUGGCUGUGCGAAAUAGAAAUAUGAAGUAUACAGCCUGACACCUGCCCGGUGCUGGAAGGUUAAGAGGAGAGCUCAUCGCAAGAGAAGGCUUGAAUUGAAGCCCCAGUAAACGGCGGCCGUAACUAUAACGGUCCUAAGGUAGCGAAAUUCCUUGUCGGGUAAGUUC